rnacentral:sRNA from 1 species
GUCGGUUGAUCGGGACCACGUGGUUCCGGAUCCUGAACAGCCCCCCCAGCCCCCCUGGGACUUCGGGCCUCGGUCAGCCGGCGUCAUUCCCCUUCCCCUGAGAAGGCCCGCGCGGACCCCUGCCCCACUCCACCGCGCGGGCC